UCGGGGGUGGAAGGCAAGUCGGUAGGGCAUACAGCUACCAACCUGUAGGUUGCGGGUUCAAUUCCCGCCCUUCGCA